rnacentral:rRNA from 1 species
AUUGAACGCUGGCGACAUGCCUUACACAUGCAAGUCGAACGGCAGCACGGGUGCUUGCACCUGGUGGCGAGUGGCGAACGGGUGAGUAAUACAUCGGAACAUGUCCUGUAGUGGGGGAUAGCCCGGCGAAAGCCGGAUUAAUACCGCAUACGAUCUACGGAUGAAAGCGGGGGACCUUCGGGCCUCGCGCUAUAGGGUUGGCCGAUGGCUGAUUAGCUAGUUGGUGGGGUAAAGGCCUACCAAGGCGACGAUCAGUAGCUGGUCUGAGAGGACGACCAGCCACACUGGGACUGAGACACGGCCCAGACUCCUACGGGAGGCAGCAGUGGGGAAUUUUGGACAAUGGGCGAAAGCCUGAUCCAGCAAUGCCGCGUGUGUGAAGAAGGCCUUCGGGUUGUAAAGCACUUUUGUCCGGAGAGAAAUCCUUGGCCCUAAUACGGUCGGGGGAUGACGGUACCGGAAGAAUAAGCACCGGCUAACUACGUG